CAUGAAAAUAGAAUUGAAUAGCAUGUCUCUAAAUUAGAAAGAUUAUUAAUAAGCUAAAAGAUAGUGAUGAAAAGAAAUACCUUGGCUGUGUAAUAACAUGCACCACCAUUCGAUCUUCCAAAAUACAAAGCAAGAAAAGCAAUUGAAAGCAUAUAAAUGAUGCUAGCUAACUCACAUCAUCUAGUCCUAAAUAAAUGGUCACAGAAUUUUUGAAUUGGCUGCACAAGGACAGACAUGAAUCCUCAAUGUGAACAGCUUUGACGCUACAAGCCCCCAAUAACAGCAAAUGGUAACAAAAUUGUAUCAACUUACAAAUAAACUGGAACAAACCAUCAUAGUAAUUCCAUACUAGCAGAACUUGCAUCCCAAUCGACACAUGGCAUCCAGACAGACAGCAGUAAAGCAGUGACACGAGAUUUAGGACAAUUUCAUGAUAAAAAACUGGCUACCAUCUUAUGACGUUAAAAAUCCAUUAACAAAUAUUACAGGCACUACUUAAUGAAUAUCAAAGUUUUCACUCUCUCUUUUUUUUUCUGAAAUAACCACUACACAAUGAACAUUAAAGUUGUUAUAAGAGUUAAACGCAAAUUUCAAAUAAAGUAAAAUGGAGCAGAAACUGUAGUAUGAGAACAUAGCAGAGUAAUUGUAUCAGAUAAUCCACUUAAAACACCAGCAAAACAUUGCAUUUGCGACCAAAAAGAAAAAAAAAAAAAUCCUACAAUGUGUCCAUUUCAAAGCUCAAAUUCUUCGUCCUUAAGAGCCAUCUCUGCAGCCUCCUCUUCCUCCUCAUCAAGAACAAAGUACUCAUUCUUCUCCACAGGCCUAAACAUGUAAAACAUCACCGCAUAAAACAACAGACUGGCAGUCUCCUCCGCAGCAUUACUUACCCACUGAUACUUGUAAGCUGCAAUGGUCUUAAGUGCAAACACUACAAUCCUCGUAAAAUACAAGUAUCCAAUUACAACAAUGUAAAACUGCCUAAACAGUUGCAGUUUGGCCAGAUUUCUAGCAGCCUUCCCAUCAGUCUUCGAGGUCUCUCUCAGAGAUCGAAUAGACCAGACAAUUGGGAAAAUAAUCGCGCAACAGCAGAUGAUAUCCACUAACAAGAACACCUGAUUCCAGGUGACCCAAUCCUUAAUAAAGGGCCCUGUCUCACCAAUCACCACAGAAGCCACAUUAGCCAAGACCUGAAGGGGAACCACAAUCAUCAACACCUUCUUCUCCUUCUCUUGCAGGAAUGGCUUCAAAAAUGACCAUCCGGUACCAAUCAACACAAUCACCGUGAAGAGCAAAACCACACGAAUGAACUGGAAAAUGUAGAACAAAACAUCCCAACCAUGAGGGGUACCGGUCACCUUCACGUAAUGCUUAUCCUCCGCGGCACAGAUCAAGUUGAGCGCUUUCAUCAGAAGCAAUCCACCCAUCAACAAAUGGAUCCGAUGUACAGAUCCUCUAUUGGUGAAGCAAAUGUAGAUCCAGAAGCCCAGAAAAGCGAGAUACGCAAUGAAGUAGACAAAGUACAGCGACGGUAGCUGCGUUAAGCCAGCAGAGAGGAAAUCCUUAGAGCCAUCGAACUCGAGAUUGUAAACCUCCGUUCGAACGUUCAUGGACACGCGCGUCUCCGGCGCGCAAUUGGCGAAGAAAAGAGAGUAUUCAUUGGGGGCAGUGACGGGAUAAGAUUGGUUGAAUGAGGAGAGAGGCGGGGGAGAGAGAUCGCGGAAAGUAAAGAGAUGGAGCGUGUAGUGAGACUCGAGGACGCAGAAGUUGGGGUUUUGCUGGAUCUCGAGGAGGACUUGGAGGAGAGACUCCUCGGAGAGGAGAAAGAAGCCGAGACGAGAAGGGAUGGGGUUAGGGGCGUUGAUAGAGGAGGUGACUGAAACGGAGGAGACGGAGAUGGUGACAUGGCCAGUGUGCGUGAAACCGAAUUUCUCAAAGAGGAUCAUGGACCGUCCAUCGUUGGUAAUCGAUAAGGCUUUGAUCUCGGCGGUGAUGAGAGAGGAAAGGGAGAGUAUGAGGAGGAGAGAGAGAGGGAGGAAGAGCGGUGGUUUUGUCAUUUUCCGAGAGAUUCUGGGGGUGAUGGUGGUGGCGGUGAAGAGACCUAAGGAAGAGAAAUACAGAGAUAAACGAUGGAGUUGUCCAUUCGGUCGUCAGUCUCGGUCUUGGUCAUGGUCAAUAUCAGAAGGUUUCUACGCCCACUUAUACGACACCGUAUGAGAAACGCGGGCAAUCACACAUUUACGCGCCUUUUAGUGUGAAAAUAUGAAAGCGGUUCACACGGAAGACCAUUGUGGACAAGGACCGAGACCCCUUAGACUAAGGGCGGCUACAGUUCAAGAAUCACUCAAUAAAAUCAUAAAUCUGAAUCAAAUCACUAUAAAAAGAUUUGGAAUAUGAUUUUAAAAUUUUCAAUUUUGAUUCGAGCUCCGGUUUAAAAUAAUUUGAAGGGCUGUUUGAAAAAAGACGGUUACAACGGUUUAGAAAACGAUUUGGAAGUAGUUUAAAGGAGGUUUAAAAGCAAUUUACAUAAAAAAAAUUAAAGAAAAU
rnacentral:misc_RNA from 1 species